rnacentral:rRNA from 1 species
UACGUAGGGACCAAGCGUUGUUCGGAUUUACUGGGCGUAAAGGGCGCGUAGGCGGCGUGGGUAAGUCACUUGUGGAAAUCUCUGAGCUUAAACUCAGAACGGCCAAGUGAUACUGCUGUGCUAGAGUGCAGAAGGGCAAUCGGAAGUUCUGGUGUAGCGGUGAAUGCGUAGAUAUCGAGAGGAACACCUGCGGCGAAGGCGGGUUGCUGGGCUGAUACUGACGCUGAUGCGCGAAAGCCAGGGGAGCGAACGGG